AUUGUGUUUUCCCAUUUUGACCCUUGCAAGGCCACUAUAUAUAGCCCUCCAUCUCAUUGCAAAGCUCCACACAGACAGAGCAGUUCUUCACUGAUCGAUCAGUUAGCUCUAGCUCCAACCAGUCUACUUCUUGGUGUAGUAGCAACUCCUCAUCGGCAUCAAUGGCCACAGUAGAGGUAAUUAACUUGUUGAUCAUCUUUGAAAUGUUUAGUUCUGUGUGAUUACUGAUUAGGCCAGGAAUUAAAGUAUGUGGUCGAUCUCAUGUUUGAUCAAUGAUCAAUUGAUCAUCGUGUGUUUGUUGCUGCGUUUACGUGUACGCCAUGGACGGAUCGAGGUUAUGUGCUGUGCUGAUCGUCGCUCGCGCGGAUGUGCAGGUUGAGACCCCGACCACUGUGGAGGUGCCCGUGGAGGUGACGCCGCCGGACGCCGCCGUUGAGGUGGAGGCGCCGAAGGAGGAGACGCCGGCGCCUGCCGAGGCUGAGGCCGAGGUGGCUGCGCCGGCCGAGGUGGCUGAGACAAAAGAAGCAGAGCCGGAGCCGGAGCCGGAGCCAGCUGCUGCCGAACCGGCGGCGGAGGAGGGCANNN
rnacentral:lncRNA from 1 species